CUGCACCACGUCCUCCCCGAAAUAAGUGACCCAGCCUCCUUGCGGAGUGACCUACCCGGAAACCACGCCUUCCUGGGCUCAGCACGGGAACUGGGCCAGUGCAUAAGGGAGAGCCGCGGCACUGUGAGGGCGCAGUCAGCAGCUGGUUCCGGCUUGGAGCGUAGCUCUUCCACAACGGUGAUUUCGGGUCGCUGGCCAGGGGAGGAGUUUGAGAGUGGAAAUGGAUGGCAAAGCCGGGCUUCUCAGAUCCGUGUUCUGCUUGAGCAGAAGUCCUGGGGUUUGAUCAGCUUGAAGAGCCUUAGGCCAACUGUCUGCCUGAGCCAAUUACUAAUGAUGCGAUUGGAAGAGAACGCGCAGUGUGGCACGGAAGCAGCCCUUCUGAAACCGUGGGGACAUCAGCCAACACAGGGAAGAUGGCAUAAAGGGAUUGUGACGUCUUGAGUGUUUGAAGAUACUGGUAUGCCACUAAUCAACAAACCUUGGAGAGUCUUCUGUCGUUCAAGCUACUUGCAGCUCAGCUGUGUGGUUGGUUACCUGCAGCUGGAAGCGGCCUGGUCCGCAGGAGUGAGGGAUCGCAAGAGAGCUGGGGUGAGAACAACUGCAGAUCAACAUCGGAUAACCUCCAGGACUGAACAUCGGUGCGAGACUUUACGGAACAGGGAUCACUGGUUCCUGGCGGAAGGGAUUUGCAGCCUGACGCUUACAGUGGAGUUCCUCUGCCUGUUGAUUAACAAUGCCUUCCCUGACCGCUCUCUGUGAAAUAGUUACCACCCACCCCUAGCAAUCCCUGGUCUCCUCUGGCCUGCUUUCCCAACUCCCUCAGCCUUAAUGCCAUCCAACAUCCUGUUAAUGCUCUCGUUGAUUUAUUUACUGGCUGCUUGUUUGUUACCAUUAGACUGUAAGCUCCAUCAGGGCAGGGACCUUUCAGGUUUUUUUUUCCUGCUGUGUCGCUUGCCAAUGCCCAGUACAGUGGCCAACACACAGUAGGUGCUUGUGUAUAGUGGAGAAUGAAUGAACAGGUGCAGAGCACAGUGCAUGUCCCUAUAGUGCAUGCCAUGCCUAUCAGUUCCCAGGGCUUGCUCUUAAUAUGAUAGAGCUCCUUAAAUACAAGUUUCAAUGCAUAGGGAUGCUUUAGAGACCUCCAGGAAUGAAAACUGCCUCUCUCGGGCUCAAGCAACAGACAAAAUACAUUUAAGAAACAAGGUUCUGGAAUGCUAUAAUAUUUCCAAAGAAACAAGAUCAGAGCAAACAAAGAACAAUCAACUCAAAUCAGAAAGAAAGAGAGAGAGAGAGAGAGAGAGAGAUGCUUGACCACAGUAACCUUUUGAUGCUAUGGCAAAUUUUUGGAGUUUGCUAUAAAUUUUGUAAAAGAGACUGCAUUUGAGUAGGAAAACAAGCAAAUGACAGGAGACAAGCUGAAAGCUGGGCUUUUUGUUGUAAGAAGCAAUCCCAAGGGUUAUGCAUGGUGAUAUGGAGAGUUAGUCCAAUCUCGCAGUUGAUUGUGGGCCUGGCUUUCAAACCCCCACCAAUCGGAUCAGAGGCCCAGAGGAAGCCACUUCCUCCUUCUGAACCUCAGCUCCUGCCAGCAGGAAAGGGAGGUGGGUGACGGAAGCUGAUUUCCAAGGUCUCUUCUGCCCGUACUGUCCUAUGACUCUGCAUCUUAACAAGGAGUUUCAGUUCGUUCUCAUUAAAAAAGAGAUUCAAUGAACCAGGGCAUGAAAUCCCCUGAGUGUUCUGGAUAAUUAAAUAUUUACUAAAAUAGGCCUCAAGUUUUGUUUAACUGCAAUAAAAAAUCUUUUUUGCAUUAAUUUCCAAAAAUUAAGUAGAAAAUUGAAAAGCAUUUAACUGAAAUAACCAGAAGUUUGGCUCCAAGUUAUUUCUUAAAUGGAGUUUCUAAUAUACCAUUUUACAAACAGUAAACUUUAUCUCUCACACACAUAAUAUGAGUUUUAUGAAGUAGUACAUCACCUUGCCAUAUGACACUGUGAUCUUUUUUAAUUAGAAAAUAUUUCUUUGAGAGGCAGAGACAGAGAUGCCGAGAGAGACAGAGUUCCUGUCCAUUGGUUCACUUCCCAAAUACCUGCAAUAGCUGGGGAUGGGCCAGGCCAAAGCCAGGAGCUGGGAACUCAGUCCAGGUUUCCCCAAAUGGGAGGCGAGAACCCAUUACUGGCGUCAUCACUGUUGCCUCCCAGGAUCUACAUUAGAAGCUAGAGAAAGAAAUGGAGUCAGAUAUGGAACCCUGGCGUACAGAUACAGGAUGCCAGUCCAGCCCAAAGCUCCACAGGACGCUGCCUGCCUCUCGUGGAUCUCUGUGGGAGUCUGUGUCCAGGCUGUCAUUGUGAUAGCUGCCCUGCAGUAUGGCGCUGAGAAUGCUAUAGCCACGUUCUUGGUUUUGCCUUUGAGUUCACACCAUUCAAAAUGUCUUUUGCAUUUCUCGAGAGAUGCUCCCAGCAGCACAGGCCAGAGAGAACACUAGACUAAGUAGCACCAUUUGUGUCUUCUGCCCUGGGUUCUGUCACUACGUGGCUGUGUGACCCUGGGUAAUUUAUAAAACCUCUCUGGUCUUUAGCUACCCUCAAACAUGGGAAUGACUGCCCUAUCCACCCCAAAGGGUGGUGAGAAUCAAAAGCAAUUGAAUGGUUUGAAAACUAUAGAGUGUGAUAUAAAUAUAAAGGCAUUAUUACAAGUAGCCUUUUAGAUCUUAAGUGAAAAUCUUAAUUGUAGCUGAAAUAGAUUUAAAAAUAUCAGAUGAGGUGAGACUGGGGGUAAAUAUUUCAGGAGCUCCUACAACUAGCAUAUUUGCAUAUCAAGAUGCGGACUGUGGUGGGUGUUGUGAGUGGGUUAAGCCUCUAUUUUCAAUCCAGCUUCUUGCUAAUGUGCCUGGGAAACAGCAUGUGAUGGCCCACGUACUGGGAUCCCCGCCACCCAUGUGGGAGACCCGGAUGGAGCUCUGGGCUCCUGGCUCCCAGCUCCAGCCGGCCCAGCCCUGGCUGUUGCUGGCAUUUGAGGAGUGAACCAACAUCAAGCCCCACAAUAUUUACACCUGAUUUAUAGUGGGUAUUUUCACACAUGUCAGCAUAUGAAUCCUUACCUAAUUUAAGGUAGAACUGCAAUUCUGAAUCUUAAAAACUUUCCUUUUUGGCAGGUAAGAUAUUUGUUCACAGUCAUACAGCUCAUGAGAGAUACAAGUGUGGCUCGAUCUGAUUCCAAAUCCUUGUGCUUUGUCCUAAGCCUCAGCUUUUGCUCACUGCGUCCCUGUGGCUUGUCUAACAGCAGUAAUGAUGUCUAAUAAGGCUCUUAGGUGGAGUUGGAGUCAGGCAGUGAGGAAAUGGAUCGUACUCCUCACAGCUCUUCUCUCUGUCUACAGGCUGCAAAACGUGUGCUCCCAGAGACACGUGUAACUCUCCUUCCGACUGGAGGCAGAAAAGAAGGGACAGGCAAGAGGAAGAGGGAAGGACAAUACUGGGGUCUGCUGGGGCUGGCGCUGUGGCGUAGCCGGGAGAGCCGCUGUCUGCGGUACCAGCGUCCCAUGUGGGCACCAGUUCGAGUCCUGGAAGGCUUCACUUCCCAUCCAGCUUUCUGCUAAGGCACCUGGGAAAGCAGCAGGGGAUGGCCCAAGUGCUUGAGCCCCUGCACCCAUGUGGGAGACCCAGAAGAAGCUCCUGGCUCCUGGCUUCUGCCUGGCCCAGCCCUGGCUGUUGUGGCCAUUUGGGGAGUGAACCAGGAGAUGGAAGCCCUCUCUCUCUCUUUCUCUCUCUCUCUCUGCCUCUGUCUCUUUCUAUAAC